CAGUGGUGACCAGGGUUGGGGGUGGGGAGAAAAUGGGAAGAUGUAGGUCAAAGGAUAAAAACCUAAUCUCCCUUUUCUUUGUCCACGUCUCUCUAUGCUUGCUCUUCCACCUUUGCUCAGGCCUUCCACUCUUCCAGACCAGGGCAUUGCCCAGCCUGUCUAACUAGCCUUUCCUCUUGUCAUUUUUCUCCAUGGCAGCCUCUUUUACUUUCCUGCUUAAAAUUAGUGGCUUCCCCUGCUGCAGGAUCAAAUCCAAAUCCCUUAUCCUGUUCUGGUCCCUGCUUAGCCUUCCUUCUCAUGGCUCCUCCCCAACCUCUCACCACCUACACUCUAAGAUACAUGCAUGCAUUUCUAAGAAUUGAAUUGCAAUCUCUGUUUUGCUCUCUCCUUUGCUUUUGAAACUUCAAACACAACGUUCCCUCUGCUUGAAGUUCGUUCACUUUGUUUUUCAUUUAGCUAAGGUCCUAGUCAAUGAUUGCAAGUACAGUGCCAUCUUGUCCAAGAAGCUUUGCCACCCACUGCCCUAGUAAGGUGCACGGCUCUGUGCUCCUAAAAAGCCUUGUGCCUCACUGCUUUUUAACAAAGCACUCAUCACUCCGCAAUGCAGUUAUCUAAUGUAAUAAUUGCUAAUAUUCAUGAACCCCAUGCUAGGUCUGGACAUUCCUGUGAGCUCUUUACUUGUAAUAGUUCAUUUAGUCCUCAUAACAGUUCCAUGCAGAAGUACCAUUAUCAUCCCUGCUUUGCAGAUGAGGAAAUUGAGGUGCAGAAAGGUACAUACUCUUCUCAGUAUUACAUAGCCAGUAUUUUAACUCAGGAGGCCUGACUCCAGAGCCCUAUAAUUAUCUACCAUUAUCCAGUAAUAUUCAAGGAUUUUGUCUCUGUUUUUCACUGAAGCACUCCUGGGGCCUAGAAUAAUGUCUGGCACAUAAGAAUUGCUUAUUAUUGAGUGAAUAAAUGCUGACUCAUUUGUGUCUUUUCUUCCUGAUGGGCAGGGAUUGGGCUUUAUUCCAUUUAUUUCUAGCAGCUAGCUUGGAACCUGGCACAUAAGAAAAUUGCUAAGUUUGUCUCUCUGCAUAGGGUCUUUGCUACUCUGAGAGUUCCAUGAUUUUGUUUUGCCGUAGUGCUCUUCUGAGACCCUGUAUUCACCCCACCAUACCACAGCACACUGCUGCGUGUCAAUUUUUAGUGCUUAGAAAAAAAUCUGGUCAGCUGCUGCUUGACAGCUGGAAAAAUAGAGCUGCACCUGAGCCAGUUUUGCACCUCAGAAAAGCAAGGGGGAGAAUCUCCUGCCUCACGCGGUGUGUGGGAGGAAGGCUGAAUCAUCAAGUUCUUUGAGUUCCUUGGGAAAAGAUAACUCAAAGGAAUAUUACACAACAUGGAGAAAUAGGAGGAAAAUAAGCAGAGACACAAAAAUGACUCAAGUGUUGAAAAAUAUGAUCCACACAACUAAAAAUAUGUUUCAAUUGAGUUUGAAGAGGAAAAGUCUGGGUGUCAACAUUCCAGUGGCCCAAAGGAGUGUACAUGAAUGGGCUUUGGUUUGAAGGAUGGUGAGCAGAUGGUCACUGGCCUCACAGAGAAGGGGGAUGUGCAAUGGGGCCUGGAGGCCCUCUGAGGAUCUGAAGCAGAGAAAGAGCACAACUUUACCAGGGACAAGACAGCCCCAGCUUCAGCAAAACAUUAGAAAAGAGUGUCCUCAGUUCCAUGUGACCCAGGCAGAGGGAGGAAUAAUGGUAAAUCCUGGGGGGUUGGUGUAUUAUACAUUUUUCUUUUCUAAAUGAGCACUUAAAAUUCCAUGUAAAUUAAAAAAUUAAGUUGUAGAUUUUUUCUAGAAACUGACAACUUUGGGUGGGAAGGGUAGAUCAGGCUCUCAUGGACAUGCAAACAAUUCUCAUGUUCUACUCUCUGGCUUCUCUAGCAACUGACGUUUGAGAGACAUGUUGGUGUAGUAGAUGGAACAUGAACGGUGGUCCCUACUGCUCUGUAACCUGGGGGAGCCACCUGAGCCUUCUCUCUUUAUUUUUCUUUCUGACCUAAUCUCCUAUGGAGACCUGUGCAAUUCCAGUUCAACCAACACUCUGCUCUUUUCUUCCUUCACAACUAUCAAGCAGAGGAAACCGAAGAUGUUCCAACAUGUUCUGGAAGCCAGAUAUUAAACAAAUUGUUUAAGUCGUCCACUAUGAUCACAGAUUUGUGAACUUUAAAAAAAAUGCAGCCAUUUUAAACCUCAUCUACUUUUAAAGCUAUGUUAUUUGUUGCACAAAUAUUUAGAAUGAUUAUAUAUUACUGGUGAAUUUAUUCUUCUAUCAUUUUGAAAUGUUCUUCUUUAUCUGUAGAAUGCUAAUUUUUAAUAAGUCUACGUUCUGAUAUUAAUAUAGCCACAUAAGCUUUCUUGUGUUAGU